rnacentral:rRNA from 1 species
AUUGAACGCUGGCGGCAUGCCUUACACAUGCAAGUCGAACGGCAGCACGGGUGCUUGCACCUGGUGGCGAGUGGCGAACGGGUGAGUAAUACAUCGGAACGUACCUUAUCGUGGGGGAUAACGCAGCGAAAGCUGUGCUAAUACCGCAUACGCCCUGAGGGGGAAAGCGGGGGAUCGAAAGACCUCGCGCGAUUAGAGCGGCCGAUGCCUGAUUAGCUUGGUGGUGGGGUAAAAGCCCACCAAGGCGACGAUCAGUAGCUGGUCUGAGAGGACGACCAGCCACACUGGGACUGAGACACGGCCCAGACUCCUACGGGAGGCAGCAGUGGGGAAUUUUGGACAAUGGGGGCAACCCUGAUCCAGCAAUGCCGCGUGAGUGAAGAAGGCCUUCGGGUUGUAAAGCUCUUUUGUCAGGGAAGAAACACCGGCUCUAACACAGUCCGGGAAUGACGGUACCUGAAGAAUAAGCACCGGCUAACUACGUGCCAGCAGCCGCCGUAA